UGUAAGCGUAUACCAAAGUUGUUGCAGUUAAAACGCUCGUAGUCGGAAUUUGGCAGUUCCGGAUGUGUGCACGUCGUGUGCGCACUUCGCGGGGAUUGCUUUUGUGGUCUUGCGUAGGAUGAGGCACUUUUAUUAGUGAACGUCCACACGCAACCACUUUUUACUGUGAGAAAAUCAGAGUGCUCAAAGCAGGCAUUUGCCGUGAAUGUAUUAGCAUGGAAUAAUAGAAUAGGACUUGGUUCUAUUUUGUUGGUUUGUUGGGACUGAGUAAUGAUUAAGAGGGACAGUUGGGGGCAUUUGUAUUUCGGUGCUAGAGGUGAAAUUCUUAGAUUACCGAAAGACAAACUGCUGCGAAAGCGUCUGCCAAGGAUGUUUUCAUUGA
rnacentral:rRNA from 1 species